AAAAAAAGCUUUCGAGCACUCCAACUGUUGUGUUGGCUUUGCUUUUCUAGCGCUUUGCUUCACAUACAUUACACAUCAUUUCACGUGACGUUAAAAACUAUUAAAUACAGUAUGCGUAUGCAUGCCCACGUUAAGCAGAAUAUACACAUACAACUGCCUUUGGUGGGAGUGACAUUUCCUUUUUUGAGACUCAUCUGCCACUUCCUUUUUUAAGCUGCCUGCGUGUGAAAGAGAAGUAGAUGCAAGUCUUUUGUUUGGCUCAUGGUGGAAACUGACACACCCAUCCUGUUGCACUUUUCUGCUCAGAAAAGUGAAGCUUAUUUUAAUUUUAAAAAAUGUACACCAAAUGUCAAGCCCAUGUUGUUCUCAGUUGGUCCUUUCCCUAAAAGUGACUGCAGUUAAUUUUCAAUUUGAGUGGGAAAGGACGGGGGGCACGUUUUAUUUACAAAUUUAUUUAAUGUAAGCUUAUUCAUGUAUUUGUUUAUUCAAUUGUUGGCUAAAAGCUUCACGUGACUGAAGGUUAAGAAGUCUUUGUUGUGAUAUGUAAAUCUUCUCUUCACAAUGCUUUAAUCAACGGAGUUGUUUAGACUGGUCAAAGUUUAUGGAAAGAAUGUGCUAAAGCUUUCAGAUGUGUUGUUUGUUUUUCCACCGCUUUAAAUAUGCGGGACAGUAAUUGCGCGAGGCAAAAUAAAAGAUGGCCCAAGGGAGGAUGAUGUACAAAAAAACAUCAAAUAAUGCAAUCACAAAUACCCAAACAAAUUCUUCCUCUCCGAUCAAAAUAAACCAUAGCGCCCUUCACACUGGCACUUCAGAAUGUCAGGAAUGCAACAUAUCUUGUAGAGCUUUGUCAGUUAUUUACAUUUAAGUAUGCAACAGUAUUCAUUUUUAAAAAAAACGGUCAUUUGUG